rnacentral:rRNA from 1 species
CCUACGGGACGCAGCAGUGAGGAAUAUUGGUCAAUGGACGCAAGUCUGAACCAGCCAUGCCGCGUGCAGGAAGACGGCUCUAUGAGUUGUAAACUGCUUUUGUACGAGGGUAAACGCAGAUACGCGUAUCUGACUGAAAGGAUCGUAAGAAGAAGGAACGGCUAACUCCGUGCCAGCAGCAGCGGUAAUACGGAGGAUUCAAGCGUUAUCCGGAUUUAUUGGGUUUAAAGGGUGCGUAGGCGGUCGGAUAAGUUAGAGGUGAAAUCCCGAGGCUCAACUUCGGAAUUGCCUCUGAUACUGUUCGGCGAGAGAGGAGUUGCGGUAGGCGGAAUGUAUGGUGUAGCGGUGAAAUGCUUAGAGAUCAUACAGAACACCGAUUGCGAAGGCAGCUUACCAAGCUACUUCUGACGUUGAGGCACGAAAGCGUGGGGAGCAAACAGGAUUAGAUACCCUUGUAGUC